UACGUAGGGUGCAAGCGUUGUCCGGAAUUAUUGGGCGUAAAGAGCUCGUAGGCGGUUUGUCGCGUCUGCCGUGAAAGUCCGGGGCUCAACUCCGGAUCUGCGGUGGGUACGGGCAGACUAGAGUGAUGUAGGGGAGACUGGAAUUCCUGGUGUAGCGGUGAAAUGCGCAGAUAUCAGGAGGAACACCGAUGGCGAAGGCAGGUCUCUGGGCAUUAACUGACGCUGAGGAGCGAAAGCAUGGGGAGCGAACAGGAUUAGAACUACCCUGUCAGUC
rnacentral:rRNA from 1 species